AAACUGCGAUAAGUAGUGUGAAUUGCAGAAUUCUGUGAAUCAUCAAACCCUUGAACGCACAUUGCACCUGGGCGUUAUGUCCAGGUACGCCUGUUCGAGCAUCGGUUUUCCUUCUCAUCCCUACCCCCAGGGGUAUGCGGAUUGGACUUGAGCUUCUGACUAACCUCAGUGGCUUGAAACACAUUGGUGGGCAACCCUCAGGGGACUUCAACCAGGCCUUCAGAACAAUCUCUGGUACUAGAUAUGCCUAGCAUACUUUGCCAGGACUCUGACAGUGUCUUUGAAUCGCCUGAUACGGCUGCUGGCCUUACCAGGUCCUUGCGACCUACCUUUCAAACCUUCGAUCUCGAAUCAGGCGGGACUACCCGCUGAAUUUAA
rnacentral:misc_RNA from 1 species